rnacentral:lncRNA from 1 species
GGCUAGGGGGUGAAUUGGAGCUGCAGCUGCCACCCUAUACCACAGCCACAGCAAUGCCAGAUCCAAGCCACAUCUGUGAUCUAUACCACAGUUCACGGCAACACCGGAUCCUUAACCCACUGAGUGAGGUCAGGGAUCGAACCUGCAUCCUCAUGGAUACUAGUCAGAUUCCUAACCCAGUGAGCCACAACGGGAACUCCCAAAUUGGAUUUUAAGUGUUUGUUGUAUGUUUCCAUAAAAGAAAAAAAAAAAAAAGCUACCCAUUCAAACACUGUUAUAAAAUAUUUUACUCUAAUUUUAUCUCAUGCAUGCUUUGAUUUAUUUUAAGGCAACAUUCUUUUCGUUAUAUUUGUUUCACUUAAGUACUUACUUUUAUCCUCACAUACCUGCAGUACCCAUUUUUGGCCUUUAUAAGAUAGCCAGAUAUUACUGUGUAUUAUUUAUUAAUGACAUUACAUAUUUUAUUUGAUCAUAAUAAGAUAGAUGCAUUGAAUUACUCUAAAUGCAUGCUUGAAAUUCUUAUAAAUCCAUGGUACAGUUGUUAAACAUACUCGGCGUUUUUAACUCAGCAAAAAAAAGAGCUCUCACAUUCAUUUAAGAAUUAGCUUGUAAGCCAAAAAUGACAGAUGUAGUAUUGCAGCUGAGGAGUGAACUUGUUAAAGAAAUCAUCUAAAUGGCAGAAACAUUUGGACAAAUACCCAAACGCCUUUUAAAUUCCUUUCUCAUGUCCUAUAGUAAUCAUUAUUGCGACAUUGCUGGUUGUUUUAUAAGUUUUCUCUACCUGCUUUCUUUUCAGUUUGGAAUGUCUUACGCUUGAAAGGAGAAGACCAGCAUUAUUGGAAUCCAGUCUCUCUAUAAUUUAAAUGCAUAUCUUGAAACUGCAGUUCAUUGUUUUUCUUAUUUUCUUUGAAAAUAGUUUUGAUUCAGUAUCUAGGUGUGGAUUUUUAAAAUUUGUAAUAUCAAGAUAACCCAAAAAAGUCAGAGAGAACAAUUAAUAGAAUAGGUAGCGAUAAUACCCAAAAGUAAAAUCUUUAACAUAAAAUUUCUCUUUGAGGAGUUCCUGUUGUGGCUCAGUGGAAAUGAAUCUGACUAGCAUCCAUGAGGAUGCAAGUUCCAUCCCUGGUCUCGCUCAAUGGGUUAAGGAUCUGGCGUUGCCAUGAGCUGUGGUGUAGGUUGCAGACAGGGCUCAGAUCUGACGUUGCUGUGGUUGUGGUGUAGGCCAAGCUACACCUCCAAUUAGACCCAUAGCCUGGGAACCUCCAUGUGCCACGGGUGUAGCCCUAAAAUAAAAAAAGACCAAAACCUUUAUAUUUUAAUGUCAAUGAAAGGAAAGCAAUUUCAGCUGUAUCCUCUAACAUAUUAAUUGUUCUAAACAUAUUUUUCUACUUUCACAACUUUCACAUGGGCAACAUAGUUAAUUUCUCUCAUUACAAACAGUAAUUCUCAAUUAGAAGACAAACACUUCCCACCAGGAGGGCAUACUACAGUAGAGCAAGUUGGUAUAUGAUAUGAAAUAACAGAAAAUUCUGAUCUACCCUCCUUUCUGACUGAUAUAUAAAUUAGUAUAAUUGAAGAAUAUAAUUUUCAUUUAAGUAUUAAAGAUGUAAUGAUAUAAAAAGUUAUUUUUAAAGAAAUACCUGUAGACAUUUUCAAAAAUCUACCUUUCUAAAUUCCAUUUUAAUUUGUGGUAUUAAUUUAUAGAAAUGCAAAUAUGUGUAUAAAUUUACAUUAAUUUGACAUAUUCUGAAAUAUAUACAGCUACAUAAAAAUUACAUUUUUUAUUUUGGGUUUUUGUUUUGUUUUGUUUGCUUUAUAAAGUAACAGAUUAGAAAUUAUAGAUUGGCCUGGGAACCUCCAUAUGCCGUGGGAGCGGCCCAAAGAUAUAGCAAAAAAAAA